UACGGAGGAUCCGAGCGUUAUCCGGAUUUAUUGGGUUUAAAGGGUGCGUAGGUGGCCUGUUAAGUCAGGGGUGAAAGACGGUAGCUUAACUAUCGCAGUGCCCUUGAUACUGAUGGGCUUGAAUGAACUAGAGGUAGGCGGAAUGUGACAAGUAGCGGUGAAAUGCAUAGAUAUGUCACAGAACACCAAUUGCGAAGGCAGCUUACUAUGGUUUUAUUGACACUGAGGCACGAAAGCGUGGGGAGCGAACAGG
rnacentral:rRNA from 1 species